rnacentral:rRNA from 1 species
UACGUAUGGAGCAAGCGUUAUCCGGAUUUACUGGGUGUAAAGGGAGCGCAGGCGGUCUGGCAAGUCUGAUGUGAAAGGCCGGGGCUCAACCCCGGGACUGCAUUGGAAACUGUCAGACUGGGGUGUCGGAGAGGUAAGCGGAAUUCCUAGUGUAGCGGUGAAAUGCGUAGAUAUUAGGAGGAACACCGGUGGCGAAGGCGGCUUACUGGACGAUGACUGACGCUGAGGCUCGAAAGCGUGGGGAGCAAACAGG